UGACAACAUGGGCAUGCACUGCAAAAACUCAAAAUCUUGCCAAGUAUAUUUUUCUAAUUUCUAGUCAAAAUAUCUCAGCUCACUUAAUAUAAGACAAAAUUACCUAAAGACCAAGAUUUAAGUAAGAUACAGGAGCUUGUUUUUAGACAGUGCAUCUUGAAUAUCUUGUUAAGUGAAACUGUCUUAAAAAUAUCUUGUUUUGAGUCAUAUCUCAGAUGAAACAAGCUUUUUUGACAUUUUGACAGUUUUUUAAGCUGCUGUGUUAUUUGUAAAAGAUGAAUCGUCUUGUUUCAAGAAACAGACUUAACUUGAAUUGAGACAAAUCUGCUUCAUUGAAAACUGCAGGCCAACAUGCCCAACUCACAACAACUCACAAUGACAUGACAGCAAAAAAACAAACAAACAAAAAACGUAAUUUAUUUACGUAUAAACAACUUUACCAACAUACAAAUUUAUAUGUAUUCCUAUUUAACUUAUGCAUAUUAAAAUCGUGGUUUUGACUCUAUUGCAUUCAAUUGUCUUAUCAAUUAAAUUUUCAGUCUCAUUUAUUAAUAGUUUAACGUUACUCAUAAAUAAUAACAUUUCGUUCUGUUCGUGCCUUUUGCUGCAAACUCGCUUUGAAGCAUUAGCCUACAUGGUGUUUAACAAUAAUAUACUUUAAAACCUUCCCAUAUGGAAAAGGUUUGCUAAAAACUCCUGUGAUUUGUAUAUGUUCCAACAGAAUAUUGUAAGGGACAUAUGCAAAAACCACAUAUAUAAAUUGCAUAAUAUUAAUGUAUUUUUAAUCAUAUUAUGUAAUAUGUGUUCUACAAACAACUAAAGCAAUAUAGAUUUUCAUGAAGUAAAAACAAAAAAAUGCAAAUUUAAUAUGAAUUUCCAGCAUGGAUGUGUAUAAACAGAGGACAAGAUAAGAACCAGCAUGAGGGAAGUACAGCCUACUGAUUGAUUUAUUUACUGCACUGAGUCGAGGGGCCUAUGCCUGUAUCAGUCAUGGUUACAUACUGUAUAAUCUGUCUUAGAUUAAAAACACAACAUUUAAACUACACACACGCAAGCGCACAUUUUAAUUACAAAAUUAUUUUUAUUAGAAUGUGUUCUACAAGAUGCAGUUCCAUAUUUCACAUAUCAAUAGUUUUCAUUUUAUAUCCUGCAUCGAUUUCAUUUUCAUUUGUGACAAUUUCUCUAAACUUUAUCACAGUACUACUAUGGUACAACCUACAAACAAAAAACUUUCCUAAAUGUUGAAGUGUUGAAGUCUUUAUUAACUAAACUGAAUAUAAUUUACUCAAUAGUUUGAGUUGAACAUACCGAAAUAAAUGACUAAAACUCCAACAAUUAAUUUUGUCUGAAAUUUACAGUUAUAUUUAAGUUUUUCACUAAAAUAGGCUAAUUUAGUUUUUGACUAACCAAUUAUUAAUUUAAAAUACACUUAGCUAAUAUUUGUGAAAUUUCCAUCUCAAUAUUUGAGACUGGAUAAUUAAACUGAUCUGUCUCAAGAACCACAAAUAUUUCUAAAAUAAAAUCAAUAUUAUUAUUUAACACGCAUAAGAAAUUAAUUAAGUUUACUCAAUUAAAAUGUAUUUUACUGUCUAUGAUUACAACAACGCACCCCUCCCCACCCUCUGACGUGACGACAACUCAACGGUUGAACUUGAGUGAGCGCUGUUUGAACUUGCGGUUGCGCGCUGUUUGAACUCUCCCAGUCCAGAAAAGAACAGAUCUCUUCUCCUCUUCUCUUCUCAUCGGCGCAGAAUUGGAGCAUUUCCACCUGACAUUAAGGUUAUGGAGUCAGUCGCGUCGCAGCAUUUUUCGGCUGUGAGUGACGCAGGACGGCGGUCUAAAUUUAGAAGUUUCCCCGCAGAGGCGAGUCCAUCUCCGGCAUGGGAACCAGCGCUGACCCGGUGAAUACUGGAUAACAGACCGGUUAUUACACUUGAAUUACUUUAAUGUUUAGGCCUAAAUGUUUAAUUUUUACAUCGAAAAUGUUUCUUACAUGAGUUUAGAUGUAGUCAAUAUUGUACAACUUAUGUGUUAAAAAUAGAAUAAAAUAUGUUUGCUGUAAUGUUAGGAUAUUAAUUGACAAUAAAGGCCGUGUCAUGUAGUUAUGCUGGUGGUUGUAUGGAAUAUUUUACAAAGGUUUAGAGGAAAUAAAAAAAGUUAAUAUUACUGCCAUAUAAACACAGUUUAUAUUACUCAUAAUUAUUUGUUUUUAAAUGUUUCCCCCCAAUUAUUUCUACUCAAGUUUAUUUGUUAAUGUACCAAAUGCAGUUACUCAGAUCUAUUUAAUUUGUUUUACUAACAUUUACUCAGUUAAUACAGUGUAAGUAAUUGCUUUCACUGCUUAAAAAUUUAAUCAAUAUUCUAAGUUUAAAAAGGUUAGUAAAUCAUAUUAAAUGUUUUUAGAGUGCAUCAACACCAGAGUUCAUGUCACAUACUAAAACAUAUUCGAGCCAAUUUUAAUCACUGUUCUAGAAACAUAUUUGAUUCAACUUUGUUCAUUUGCAAUAAUAUGUUGUUGUUUUUUUAUGAAUUUUUUUCUUCUGCUGAACAAGAAGAAAGAUAUUUAUUUGGUACCGGUUUUGACAUUUUCUCACUAAAUAAAUUAUUGCGAUUUAAACAUGUAACGUUAUGUUUGUUGUUUUUAUUUAUAAUUGUAACGUUAGUUACAUAGUUUUAAGAAAUGGGUUAGGGUAGGAUUAGUGGCUCAAACUAUAUUUUAAUGCUUUAUUGUUAAUAAAACUGCCAUUGCCCUACACAUUAUG